GACGAACGCUGGCGGCGUGCUUAACACAUGCAAGUCGAACGGAAAGGCCCUGCUUUUGUGGGGUGCUCGAGUGGCGAACGGGUGAGUAACACGUGAGUAACCUGCCCUUGACUUUGGGAUAACUUCAGGAAACUGGGGCUAAUACCGGAUAGGAGCUUCCGCUGCAUGGUGGUGGUUGGAAAGUUUCGGCGGUUGGGGAUGGACUCGCGGCUUAUCAGCUUGUUUGUGGGGUAGUGGCUUACCAAGGGUUUGACGGGUAGCCGACCUGAGAGGGUGACCGGCCACAUUGGGACUGAGAGACGGACCAGACUCGUACGGGAGGCAGCAGUGGGGAGUAUUGCACAAUGGGCGGAAGCCUGAUGCAGCAACGCCGCGUGCGGGAUGACGGCCUUCGGGUUGUAAACCGCUUUCGCCGGUGACGAAGCGUGAGUGACGGUAAUGGGUAAAGAAGCACCGGCUAACUACGUG
rnacentral:rRNA from 1 species